UACGUAGGGGGCAAGCGUUGUCCGGAAUCAUUGGGCGUAAAGCGCGCGUAGGCGGCUCGGAAAGUCGGUCGUGAAAUCCUGGGGCUCAACCCCGGAACUGCGUCCGAUACUUCCGAGCUGGAGGCAGGUAGGGGAGAUCGGAAUUCCUGGUGUAGCGGUGAAAUGCGCAGAUAUCAGGAGGAACACCGGUGGCGAAGGCGGAUCUCUGGGUCUUGCCUGACGCUGAGGCGCGAAAGCUAGGGGAGCGAACAGG
rnacentral:rRNA from 1 species